UACGGAGGGUGCGAGCGUUGUCCGGAAUCACUGGGCGUAAAGGGCGCGUAGGCGGCGCGAGCAGUCGGCGGUGAAAGCCCGGAGCUCAACUCCGGGUCGGCCGUCGAUACUCUCGUGCUUGAGCACUGUAGAGGCAGAUGGAAUUCCGGGUGUAGCGGUGGAAUGCGUAGAGAUCCGGAAGAACACCGGUGGCGAAGGCGGUCUGCUGGGCAGUAGCUGACGCUGAUGCGCGACGAGCGAUGGGGAGCAACAGG
rnacentral:rRNA from 1 species